rnacentral:rRNA from 1 species
AACCUGGUUGAUCCUGCCAGUAGUCAUAUGCUUGUCUCAAAGAUUAAGCCAUGCAUGUCUAUGUAUAAAUUAUUUUACGAUGAGACUGCGAAUGGCUCAUUAAAUCAGUUAUCGUUUAUUUGAAUAUGACCCUACUACUGGAUAACCGUAGUAAUUCUAGAGCUAAUACAUAUAACCCAUGAAGCCUGCUUUAAGGGCCGUAUUUAUUAGAUACAAAGCCAAUCGGGGCAACCCGUUAGGUGAUUCAUAAUAACUGGCAAAAUCGCAUGCUUUCAAGCGACGAUGAUUCACUCAAAUUUCUGCCCUAUCAACUUUCGAUGGUAAGGUAUUGGCUUACCAUGGUUAUAACGGGUGACGGAGAAUUAGGGUUCGAUUCCGGAGUGGGAGCCUGAGAAACGGCUACCACUUCCAAGGAAGGUAGCAGGCGCGCAAAUUGCCCAAUCCUGACACAGGGAGGUAGUGACAAAAAAUAACAAUCCAGGGCCUUUUGGGUCUUGUAAUUGGAAUGAGUACGAUUUAAACCCUUUAACGAGGAACAAUUGGAGGGCAAGUCUGGUGCCAGCAGCCGCGGUAAAUCCAGCUCCAAUAGCGUAUAUUGAAGUUGUUGCAGUUAAAAAGCUCGUAGUUGGAUUUUGGAUCGGCCUUUUCCGCGAGCUAAACGGUUCGUCGGGAAAGGACGAUCUUCUUUCUCGAAGUCCUCUUCUGCUCUUAAUUGAGUGGGAGAGGAAGUCGAGACGUUUACUGUGAGAAAAUUAGAGUGUUCAAAGCAAGCGUAACGCAUGAAUAUUGCAGCAUGGAAUAAUGGAAUAAGAUCACGGUCUUUUUUCGUUGGUUUAUGAGAUCGAGAUCAUGAUUAAUAAGGACAGUUGGGGGCAUUAAUAUUUAAUUGUCAGAGGUGAAAUUCUUGGAUUUAUGAAAGAUUAGCUUCUGCGAAAGCAUUUGCCAAGGAUGUUUUCGUUAAUCAAGAACGAAAGUUAGGGGAUCGAAGACGAUCAGAUACCGUCGUAGUCUUAACCAUAAACUAUGCCGACUAGGGAUCGGUGGACGUCAAUUACGUGACUCCAUCGGUACCUUGUGAGAAAUCAAAGUUUUUGGGUUCCGGGGGGAGUAUGGUCGCAAGGCUGAAACUUAAAGGAAUUGACGGAAGGGCACCACCAGGAGUGGAGCCUGCGGCUUAAUUUGACUCAACACGGGAAAACUUACCAGGUCCGGACAUAGUAAGGAUUGACAGAUUGAGAGCUCUUUCUUGAUUCUAUGGGUGGUGGUGCAUGGCCGUUCUUAGUUGGUGGAGUGAUUUGUCUGGUUAAUUCCGAUAACGAACGAGACCUUAACCUGCUAAAUAGUAGGCUGAUUUACGAAUCAAGUUCGACUUCUUAGAGGGACAAUUGGUUUUCAACCAAUGGAAGUUUGAGGCAAUAACAGGUCUGUGAUGCCCUUAGGUGUUCUGGGCCGCACGCGCGCUACACUGAUAAAGUCAGCGAGUAUUCAACCCUUUGCCGGAAGGCAUGGGUAAUCUUAUGAAACUUUAUCGUGACCGGGGUAGAUCAUUGCAAUUAUUGGUCUUGAACGAGGAAUUCCUAGUAAGCGCGAAUCAUCAGUUCGCGUUGACUACGUCCCUGCCCUUUGUACACACCGCCCGUCGCUACUACCGAUUGAAUGGUUUAGUGAGGUCUUCGGAACGACGACGAAUCAUGAAAUACUGCCUAGUCGUCGCAAAGUUGGACGAACUCGAUCAUUUAGAGGAAGUAAAAGUCGUAACAAGGUUUCCGUAGGUGAACCUGCAGAAGGAUCA